GGAGCUUCAGAGUACCUGGUUAUAACAUGAAUGUACUUGGUUACAAACUUAACCAAAGAUCUGUAAAUAAUAUACAACACAAAUAUAGUGCAGAUGGUCUGUACAAUUUCAAUAUAAAUAAGGAAGUGAUAAUUCACAACUCACAGGUUUUAGAGCCAAUUGAUCACCUGGCUCUAGUGUAUAAUGCUUCAGGAUAUUUUAAGGGUGAUCCACUACCCCCUUGUACCUCC